rnacentral:miRNA from 1 species
UCAGUUUUGCAUAGUUGCACUAC